rnacentral:lncRNA from 1 species
AUGACGAGCGUUGCGGCACGCAGGGGAGGGCGUGCGCGCGCUUGCCCCGCGCCGAGCUGGUUCACGUCCCGGGGAGGGCACCGGAGCACGGUUACGGCCCCGAGUACAAAGGAAGGUGAGAACGCGAAGAGGAGAAGCCGGGAGCCUUUGUGUCGGCGCCGCGUUUGGAAGCAAUUAAAGCCGGGAGUUUACAAGCGGGGUUAUAAAUGGCCGGUCGUUAAAAUUUUUACGUCCGUGGAAAUGAGAACCAUGCGUCCCGGCCCCAUCUUGGCGGCAGAUGCCGGACAAGCCCCCUCUAAUGAGGCCGGGUGGCCGUUUGCUCCGGGGCCCCGCUCCCUGCCGAGGGCCGGGAUGUCCACGCGGACCGUGCGUGCCGUCCCGGCGGCAGCUCCGGCCCUCUCAUCCCACCCGCAUGUGGGCUGUGGGAUUCCCAGCAAAACGCAGGCGGCUGGAGCYGGGAGCCCCUUUCCCGGGGCAGCGUUCCCGGGGCCGGGCUCCCUCCCAUGCCGGGAUGGGGCAGGUCCCRGCAAAGCCGUCCAGCUGCACUUCAUUUCCCUGCCGGCCCCCYGCCAGGCUCGGAGCCGGAGAAAAUCCCGUCUGGGGGCUGCGGAGAGCCGCGGGGAGGGAGCAGGGCCAGGAGCAGCUGGCGGGUGGCUGCACCAGGCCGGCUGGGAUGGAUUUGCCGGGGAUGCAGGGAAGAGGUUCCUGGGAGCUGGGGCUCGGUGGGACACGGAGCCUGAGAGGGAGCCGGACACCCGGCAUGGGUGCUCGGCUCCAGGUCCCGGGACUUCGGCACUGCUCUCUGCCCGCUCCGCAUUUCUGCGGCUUGCAAGGAUUUUAGCAGCCCAGGCCGCUGCCAGCUGUUUCCAGAGGCCGAUCCAGCUGUUCCAUGCGCGGCCGCGGCCGGGAGAUGCUGCUCCUUGCCUCUUGCCUCCGCGUCUCCAGAUUAAUCCAUGCCUAAGCACCAUGGCCUUGCCGGCUAUCGGCGGAGCUAUUUGGGUUUAUUUGAAGCUGGGAGCUGGAAUGUUUGUCUCCGAAAGGGCCGUCCGCCCCAGGGCUUUCCAGGGACGGAAAGGAGGGAAGAGGAGGGGAGGGGUAAGAAGAAUGAAAAAAAGGAUUUAUCCGCCCUUCCCGGCAGAAUUCCUUCCAGAUGUGGGGUUGCUGGGGGCUCUUUCUCUCUCCCUCGAAAGCCGUUACUAA